GCUCUGAUGGCGAGUGGCGAACGGGUGAGUAAUAUAUCGGAACGUGCCCUAGAGUGGGGGAUAACUAGUCGAAAGACUAGCUAAUACCGCAUACGAUCUAAGGAUGAAAGUGGGGGAUCGCAAGACCUCAUGCUCGUGGAGCGGCCGAUAUCUGAUUAGCUAGUUGGUGGGGUAAAAGCCUACCAAGGCAACGAUCAGUAGCUGGUCUGAGAGGACGACCAGCCACACUGGGACUGAGACACGGCCCAGACUCCUACGGGAGGCAGCAGUGGGGAAUUUUGGACAAUGGGGGCAACCCUGAUCCAGCAAUGCCGCGUGAGUGAAGAAGGCCUUCGGGUUGUAAAGCUCUUUUGUCAGGGAAGAAACGGUUCUGGAUAAUACCUGGAGCUAAUGACGGUACCUGAAGAAUAAGCACCGGCUAACUACGUGCCAGCAGCCGCGGUAAUACGUAGGGUGCAAGCGUUAAUCGGAAUUACUGGGCGUAAAGCGUGCGCAGGCGGUUGUGUAAGUCAGAUGUGAAAUCCCCGGGCUCAACCUGGGAAUUGCAUUUGAGACUGCACGGCUAGAGUGUGUCAGAGGGGGGUAGAAUUCCACGUGUAGCAGUGAAAUGCGUAGAUAUGUGGAGGAAUACCGAUGGCGAAGG
rnacentral:rRNA from 1 species